UGGGGAAUAUUGGACAAUGGGCGAAAGCCUGAUCCAGCAAUGCCGCGUGAGUGAUGAAGGCCUUAGGGUUGUAAAGCUCUUUUACCCGGGAUGAUAAUGACAGUACCGGGAGAAUAAGCUCCGGCUAACUCCGUGCCAGCAGCCGCGGUAAUACGGAGGGAGCUAGCGUUAUUCGGAAUUACUGGGCGUAAAGCGCACGUAGGCGGCUUUGUAAGUAAGAGGUGAAAGCCCAGAGCUCAACUCUGGAAUUGCCUUUUAGACUGCAUCGCUUGAAUCAUGGAGAGGUCAGUGGAAUUCCGAGUGUAGAGGUGAAAUUCGUAGAUAUUCGGAAGAACACCAGUGGCGAAGGCGGCUGACUGGACAUGUAUUGACGCUGAGGUGCGAAAGCGUGGGGAGCAAA
rnacentral:rRNA from 1 species